rnacentral:rRNA from 1 species
GUUGCCAGCAUUCAGUUGGGCACUCUAAGGUGACUGCCGGCUAAAAGUCGGAGGAAGUGGGGAUGACGUCAAAUCAUCAUGCCCUUAUGACCUGGGCUACACACGUGCUACAAUGGGCGGUACAAAGGGUCGCGAACCCGCAGGGGGAGCCAAUCCCAAAAAGCCGCUCUCAGUUCGGAUUGCAGGCUGCAACUCGCCUGCAUGAAGCCGGAAUCGCUAGUAAUCGCGGAUCAGCAUGCCGCGGUGAAUACGUUCCCGGGCCUU